GUGCUCACUCAGGCAGCACAUAUACUAAAAUGGAAAUGAUACAGAGAAACUUCUUGUGGCCUCUGCACAAUAUGACAUGCAAACUCAUGAAGCAUUCCAUGUUUUC
rnacentral:snRNA from 1 species